rnacentral:rRNA from 1 species
UGGGGAAUAUUGCACAAUGGGCGCAAGCCUGAUGCAGCCAUGCCGCGUGUAUGAAGAAGGCCUUCGGGUUGUAAAGUACUUUCAGCGAGGAGGAAGGCGUUGUGGUUAAUAACCGCAGCGCUUGACGUUACUCGCAGAAGAAGCACCGGCUAACUCCGUGCCAGCAGCCGCGGUAAUACGGAGGGUGCAAGCGUUAAUCGGAAUUACUGGGUGUAAAGCGCACGCAGGCGGUCUGUCAAGUCGGAUGUGAAAUCCCCGGGCUCAACCUGGGAACUGCAUCCGAAACUGGCAGGCUAGAGUCUUGUAGAGGGGGGUAGAAUUCCAGGUGUAGCGGUGAAAUGCGUAGAGAUCUGGAGGAAUACCGGUGGCGAAGGCGGCCCCCUGGACAAAGACUGACGCUCAGGUGCGAAAGCGUGGGGAGCAAACA